rnacentral:rRNA from 1 species
GUAGUCUCGCACAGAUGCAUAUCAAUAAGCGGAGGAAAAGAAACUAACAAGGAUUCCCCUAGUAACGGCGAGUGAAGCGGGAAGAGCUCAAAUUUGAAAUCUUAAAGGGUUUCCCUUUACGAAUUGUAGUUUAAAGAAGUGUUUUCUGUUGAGGUUUUGGUAAAAGUUCUUUGGAAUAGGACAUCAUAGAGGGUGAGAAUCCCGUAUUUGACCUUUACUUUCAACUUUGUGAUACACUUUCAAAGAGUCGGAUUGUUUGGGAAUGCAGUCCAAAAUGGGUGGUAAAUUUCAUCUAAAGCUAAAUAUUGGCGAGAGACCGAUAGCGAACAAGUACCGUGAGGGAAAGAUGAAAAGAACUUUGAAAAGAGAGUUAAACAGUACAUGAAAUUGUCAAAAGGGAAGCGUUUGACACCAGUGUUGUUUUUCUGAAAAUCAAUUAAAGAACUGUUUAUGCUAAGCUGUUUAGACUUUAUCAGCUAUCUGUUUAGUUUUGAGCUUUUCUUUAAUGCACUUUUCAGUUAACAAGUCAACAUCAAUUUCUUUUGCUGUAAAAAAGCUUGAGGAAGGUGGCUUGAGAUUCGUCUUAAGUGUUUAUAGCCUCUUGCCUAUGCAGUCGGAGAGAUUGAGGUCUGCAGCGUAGAUCCUUCGGGGCUAAAUGCAUUUGUGCUAAGUUAUAGCAUUUUAUAGACAACUUGUUGACUAUGAUUUGUCUUGUAGCUUACUCGCUUAUGUUAUUUUACCUACGCUUAGGAUGUUGAAGACUCUACAGAGAUA